UAGGCGUGCGUGUGCAGACGGACACACGCACCCGGGGCGGGGAGAGCGAGGUGCCGUCCCGGGGGGGCGGCGCCACGGAGGAUUCACCGGCCUCUGCUCACGCCGCCCGGAGCUGGAGCCGGAGGAGGGAAGCGGGCAGAGACGGGACCCCAGGGCCAGACGGAAGCUCCUGAGGCACUGCCUGUUCUCCGCAGACUGCUGCCUCCCUCCCCCGCUGCCGCCCAAGCCUCCCCGGCCACGUGGCUCCUCCGGACCGCGACCGACGCCGUCCCACCCGCCUCUCCCUGCACGCGACCUUCCGUGGGUGCCGGCAGAAAAGGCCGGCUCUGAGAUUUCCGUUCUCCCGGACGUCCGGCCUGCUGCUCGGCGUCCCCCCCCCCGCCCCCACUCUCCUUCCACACCCACCCCCCAUCCCCUAGUUGAGGGGCGCCCGGGAGAGCACAGCAGGGGCCCGCGCCGCGUGCCUUGCGGAGGACGGGCCUGGUCGCACCGUGGGUGCCAGCGGCCGAGCUGAGAGGGUUGCACUCCCGCUCUGGGGUGUGGGGAAGGCAACGCGGCGGACGGGCGCUUUCCAUUUCCCAUCGUGAAGGCCGCAGACGCUUCCUUGGGCGUCAAUACCAGACCGCUCGGAAUUCAGGACGGUGAAACGGGCCGACACAACGAGGACGGCGCGAGGCUGCCCUUCUGGGCCGCGUAAUAGCCCCGCUCUUCCAAUGCCGGGAUGCCAGCGCUCUGUCCGCACCCAGCAGCUCACCCACCGCUCGGGGCCCGGUGGAGCCGUCCUGGUUCCACUAGGUCCUCCCUACUUUGUCCGGGACCCGCCCACAUGGCCAUUCGGAAUUCUCUUCCUGGGGACCGGAUGUUUCCCCGAAUACCCUUCUUGGGGAGUUUGCUUCUGGUAUCUUCCUGUCAAAAACUCAGGAACUAGAUUGUCCACGGACUUUAGUCCCUCAAAUGCGGGUCCACUGUGCCCAAGGAAAAGGACAGGCUUCCGCUCGGGGUAAAUGACAAAGGCUGUGAUCGGACACGGCCGCCCCUCGUCCCCCUGCUGGGCCGCUGGUGUAACGCCACCGAUGCUGCCGGCCGUGUGCACACACCCGCGCGGGCGAGACACCCCUCGUGUUUUCCGAGGAUAUCUCUGAGCAGACGUGGUGCCGGCGGCCGACAAAAGAGGGCGUCUUGUGGAAGGCCCUGGAGAGCUGUACAAAUAGCAACCGGUGAGCCCCAGGUUAGAUGAAAGCUAAUUAAAAAUGACGUAUUAAACACGGUGCUGCCGGCUGGCGAGUGCCGGUGUUUCACGUCUGCUUCCCCAGGGAUGUGAUCCCAGUGCCCCUUCUCUGCUGAGUCAUCGGUUACCUGCGCCCCACCCCCACCCCCGCACGCCAGGAAACACGAACACCUCCGGCCCUUCCUGCUGUUCGCCCUUUCCGCUCACCUGCUAAAAACCCUCCCACUGAAGUCAUCCCACCGCCUUUAAGGGAGAGGUGUUUAGAAAGACAAUGGAUUAUGCAAUUUCAUUUCAAGGGCUUAUUCUCAGAAAAAUGACUCAGAUCAUGGAAAGGGUCUGUGUAUUCAAAUGAGAAGUGAAUCAUUCCUACCUGUUUAUGGUCCCCCCCUGGCUGGGACCUGGGGGAGGGAAGAGGUGAGCAGAUGAUCAGAGAACCAAGUGUCUGCUGCGGUAGGAGCCCCCACGUGCACUAAGCCCCCACAAAAAGCUAAGUUUUAAUGGCCUUGACCUCAGUCAAGUUUUUAAAACGAUCUUUUCCUGGACUUGUCCGUAUUUCCACUUUUCUUUAGGACAAGGAGAUCGCUGCUGCGAGGAACUUGGUUUGUAGGCAACUUUGACCCAGUCCUCGGCGGUAAAAUGUGCAUACCUAUAACCAUAACUUAUGGCAAAGAGCCAUUGACAUUGGUUCCUUUUAUAGCUUAUCUGUUGCCCAAAGGAGGGGCCUGCCUGUGUGUUAUUGUGUGUGGGUGAGGGAUCUGGGUCAGUGCGCCCUUCGAACUGAUAGGCGGCCCUGGGAUUACCUGCGCGCACCGGGAAGAAAAGAAACAGAACUCAGGGCCCCCGAGGCUUGGCUUGGCGCGUGCAUCGUGCACUUUCGCAGGCUCCCAGGAGAGGGCAUCCACUUUUUGGAAAAAUAUCUCGCAGCUACCGGUUUCCCGUUCCCGAGGCACAAGGCGUGAGCAGCCCCUGCCCCGUGAGGCCAGCUCUGGAAAGCACGGAAGUAGGACAUGCUUGCUAACCUACGUCUUUUCUUGACAUAGUGUGUCGUUCAAUGCCGGGGCUGAGGGCAGCAAGGACGGUCAUCGGCCUGAAGUGUCAGAGCACGCCGUGUGGCCAGAGAGCAACAUGUGAUUAAAGACACAUAACUGUGGGGAUCGGCACAGUCUUUUCAGGGUUGGAAACAUAUUGGGGAUCAUAUGAGCCUUGUUUGCCACCAUAAGAACAAACAAAACCAAUAACCCAAAGGACCAGAUCAAAAAAAAUAAAUAAAACUGCAAAGGCACCUGGGUGGCUCAGUCGGUUAAGCGUCCGACUUUGGCUCAGGUCAUGAUCUCACGGUUCGUGGGUUCAAGCCCCAAGUCGGGCUCUGUGCUGAUGGCUUUGAGCCUGCUUCAGAUUCUCUGUCCCCACCUCCCGCUGCCCCUUCCCACUCGUUCUCUCCUUCUCAAAAAUAAAUAAACUUAAAAGAGAGAGAGAGAAAGAAAAGAAGAGAAAGAAAGAAAAAGAAGAAAGAAAAAGAAAAGCAAGGCUUCCUGUGUUUGGACACCUGACGUGCUUGGGAAGCCACUGCGCCUGAUCCGCCAGCACAGUUGUGGGGAAGGCAAGUGUCCUGCUCACGUGUCCUGCAGGCUCGCAAAGGGCGCGCACGCUCUGCCCUGUCCCAGCUGUGUGUCAGAUGGUGGUUGGGAAAGGACCAUGUGUGCAAGGCACACGUGCAAAGGUACAAAGACUAAACCACAAGACGGCGAUCUGCCAGCAAGAGUCACAGAACCGUGGGGCGCGGCUGGUCCUGCGGCUGCACCAGCCUGAAGCCCGGCUUGCGCACAGGGUUCAUGCAGCUGAGGCACCAGCUGCAAGGCCCCUGCAGGGAUGUGGCAGAGCUGAGGCUGCUGCACGUGUCCCCUUGGAGCAAGAGUGGCGCCCUCACCUGGGGGCCCGGGGCUCUCCGUUCCACCUCUCUGCUCUCUCAACACAAACCUCUUGGAAAAUGAGUGAAAUCACAUGGGCGUUGAAAUCUUACUGUCUCCAAGUUUUAUUUUUAAUAGAGAAGACAGUCCAAUGUUGAGCAUCCACAUUUACAGCUGGUUGUGGCGUUCUAGAACCCCAGCCUGGUCUAACCCUAAAAACCCAGAGCUGGGUCUCUGUCCCCUACCAGAGGCCUGUGGUCACGGCAGUCCUGGGAGCAUCAGGCCGGUAAGGUCCAUGUGGGGGGGGGGGGACCCACGGCGGUGUGAAGGCGGCCACAUGGGGGGACCCACGGCAGUGUGAAGGCGGCCACGCCAUUUGUCCGGUGACCACAGUGGGUGUUUUGUGGGUGCCGUGCCUAGAGGAGCCGCGGGGAGUCGAGGGCUGGGAUGGCCCGCAAUUGUGGGACCAGACGGGCACGUACAGGGCAGCCGGGCCGGUACUCACUUCCUCGGAAUGUCUGAAGAGUCCUGGCAAAACCCCACCGGCUCGACAGAAGAAGAAAGGCCUGCCAGUUCGGCACACGUCACUCGUGUGUAAAUUAUGUUUAAAAGCACAACAUCAGAAGGAGAGAGACAGACUCUGUAAAUCGCUGUCUGGUCGACACAGAGCUAAUGCGCUCCCUGGAUGUGAGUGAUUCAGCCAAAUGCGGUGCUUGGCACUUACGGAGUCGAGAACUGAUACGGGGUGGCCUGCUAUCAGUUGGCGUGCGGAUGCACGUUCUCUUCCUCCUCGCCCUCUGUGACGUGUGCUCGCGGUCCCUGGAGGGACAGCAGGGCAGGCACAGAGGGGAGGGCGCAGGACGGCACACUCGGCGGGUGUGAACUCUCAGGAAGCGGCUUCUUGCCCAUCUCACGGAGCUCUGGGAGGAUGGAGGUCAGCCCUCCGAGAGCUCCCGUGUCGUGUCGUAGGAGGAAGGGGGAUUGGAGGCAACACAGAGCUCCAAAGGAGCAGCGGGGACCACUCUGCUUAGUCGACCAACCGCUCACCGUUUAGUAGGUACCAGUCGGACAGAGAAGAAGACACGAUUUCUAGGCUGCUUGGGUCCCCCUACAAGGAGGCCUCCGCAGACCCACGCCUCAUCGCCAUCGGGAUAUGACCGGACCCGUGGGAGCAGCCAGGAGGCUUGGAGCGUGGGCGGGAGAGGUGCAUCCAUACAGGCCCCGAGCAGGGAGCACCGAGGGGUCCCCGAUGCAUCUCAGGGGACCCUCUCAGGAAAGCCAUAAAGCUGACCUGUGAGUAGCAGUCACCAAAUACAACACUUGCCCGCAUCACAUUGCCUAAGACAGGAGUGUAACUGUGGGUCAAGGACGGGAAAGGAAAUGGGAGGUGACAGAUGGGAAAGACACGGGAGGCGGUGAACAGCGGCAGGGACACCACGCAGACACACAGCCGCAAGAGCACGGUGGUGCCGGACAGGUGGACACGUGAGGUCACGUAGGGCCUCUCCGGGACAGCCUGUGGUCGCGGGUACACCCAAAGGCUCGUUAUGGGAUCCGACUCCGAGCAAGAACGUCUUCGAGAACGUCCUCCUCUCCCUGGCCGGUCACAGGAGACCCCGGGCUCGGACUCCUGCUCCUCCUGAGAGCCCCAGGCCUCCGAGGGCACAUCACGCCAGCUGGCCGAGAACUUCCUGGCAGCGUCUUCCAGCCUCCAGGCUCUCACUCGCUCUUCCUGCUCCUCUGAGAGAGCCCGGGUGGCAGUGAAGGGGUCCGUGAAACGGGCUAGGACCGGGAUGAAGAGGUGACGGAGUGCUCAGACGCCUUCUGCUUAUCGGGGGCCCGAUCAUCCACAUCCACGAGGGCUCCAUCCCGGAGCCGGCCUGAUCUCUACUCGGGACCUGAAAGUGAGAAUGACCCCGUUUGUCCCCAGAGGACGCUCGUGAGCCCCUUCAGGAUUCAGUACAAGACGGCCCGUCCUGUGGACCGCCAGAACCAAGGCUGUGACGUAACGGUCCCCAGUCUUGGCUGCUGCUAGCGACGCGGCUGGCUGUGCCCGGACGCUGGACACAAAGACUCCAGUGGUCUUCCCUGGUGGUGGUGCCCAGCCACCACGUGGAAACAAAGCUUAAACCUUGA